GUUUAAAUAGUUUAAUGAUAAAAUGUUGGUUUGUGAUACCAAAGAUGUGGGUAUCUACUUUAAACC
rnacentral:tRNA from 1 species